UCCGAGGUAGCUCAGUUGGUAGAGCAAGUGACUGUUAAUCACUGGGUCGUGGGUUCGAGCCCCUCCCUCGGAG
rnacentral:tRNA from 1 species